rnacentral:tRNA from 1 species
CGGGGCGUAGCGCAGCUAGGUAGCGCGCAUGGUUCGGGACCAUGAGGCCGCUGGUUCAAAUCCAGUCGCCCCGACCA